rnacentral:rRNA from 1 species
CCUACGGGAUGCAGCAGUGAGGAAUAUUGGUCAAUGGUCGGGAGACUGAACCAGCCAAGCCGCGUGAGGGAUGGAGGUACAGAGUAUCGUAAACCUCUUUUGUCAGGGAACAAAGGCGGGGACGCGUCCCCGGAUGAGUGUACCUGAAGAAAAAGCAUCGGCUAACUCCGUCCCAGCAGCCGCGGUAAUACGGAGGAUGCGAGCGUUAUCCGGAUUUAUUGGGUUUAAAGGGUGCGCAGGCGGUCUGUUAAGUCAGGGGUAAAAGCCCGGGGCUCAACCCCGGCCCGCCGUUGAAACUGGCAGUCUCGAGUUGGAGAGAAGUAUGCGGAAUGCGCGGUGUAGCGGUGAAAUGCAUAGAUAUCGCGCAGAACUCCGAUUGCGAAGGCAGCAUGCCGGCUCCACACUGACGCUGAGGCACGAAAGCGUGGGUAUCGAACAGGAUUAGAUACCCUAGUAGUC